CUGGUUAGGCCGCAGGUCCAUGGGGACCACCUGUGAGAAAAGCGGGUCUGACACCCCCAUGUGUGUACAGAAUGGCACCAUUUCAUAGGGAAACACCAAGCGCCAAGAGCACUGGCUGCCUCUGGGAGAGGAGUUUUCCACUGUACCUUUCGCAUUUUAAGCCACGUGGUUACAACAGUCCCUAAACAUAGUCAGAAAAAACAGGAUGGGAUAGACAGCAACAGCAGCAGAAAUGGGGGAGCGUCCGGGGGUGCACAGGGUGGCACCCGCGUGGCUGGUGUGCAGCCUGGGGCUGUGGCAGGCUCUGGGCCAGGACCCAUGGACCCCUUUGGUUGCCCCACCAGGAAAACGUGGCAGGAGCUGAGCCAGCAACAUGUUCCGUGUGCAGACCUGGGCCUGGCUGUGCAAGGCACGAUCCAGCACAUUGAGGACCACAGCCGGGACAACCUCCUGCCUCGAGUCAGGGCCUUGUGCCAGAGAUCUGAGCACCUGGGAAGACCCAGAGAUGUCAUGCCCUCCCACGAUGGCCUACAUACUGCCUUGUCUCACCCUGGGCUGUGGCAGACAUUACUAAUCAACCCCAGCAUUCUGUUCUGCUCUGGUCCGUGUGGAGCCGCAGGGCCCUUCUCUACACAGAGCUCCAGGCUGCCACCGCUCGCGGAUCGGACUUGGCACCGUGUUUUACGGAUGAUGCUCAGGAGGCUGCUUCGUGUAGAGGGGGCGCUGGAGGGCUGGGUCGUAGUGGGCGUGGGACUUGCUCAGGUCCCCUGGCUAAACACCGCAUGGGCUGGCCUUGCCCCUCUGCCUGUCCCCUCUGGCGUCCACUGAGAACUGAGCAGGCCCUUGUCUCAUGUCUUGGGAGUCCGAUCCGGAGGGAGAAAGCAUCAAGAGUCUGCUAAGGGGCCACUUUGGGAAGAAGGACAAGGAUCUGGUUGGAGCUCUGCAGUCCCUGUGGCAGGGCCUGGAGGGCUGCCCCAACAUGCACUCUACUCCCGCGUACAAGAGAAUCAUGCGAAGUUUGCACACGGUGGUCUUUGGGGAGUAUGUCCAGGCCCUGGCCACCCACCUCAGGACGCUGGAGCCUGGGACGUGGGAGGGCCUCGGGGUUCAGGUGGAGACAGACACCAGGAAGUUGCACGACAUCUUCACGAAGCAUGGGGUGAGCCGUGGCCGCUCGGGUAGGCUGAGUGCUGGGGGGCUUUAUUCUCCCUUUCCAGUUCUUGCCUCUCCUGGCCCCCUGCCUGGGCUAUGUGUGCUCUCCUCACUCAAACCACAAUCAGACCUGACAGCACUGGGCCUUGAAUCCCGCACACAAGGCUGGGGCCACCUGCUUUCACGGCAAAGGCUGAGGUGGGGGCAGGGAUGUUGCAAGCUGGGGGGAGGCAGCCCCCGCCCCCCCAGGCCAGGACAGCCUGUGGGAGCUCAGGAGGUAACAUCAGCAGGACCAGGAAGCUCUGACCAGCAGUGACGGCCCUGGGGCCUGAAGGGUAGACCCGGGGUGUGGGCCUGCAGGUGGGUGAGGAAAAUGGGUCCUCCCGAGAGAGGAGGCUGGGUACACAGGGCCUUGGCUCACCCACCAGCUGCUUUCUGCAGGACCUCGGCUUGACCAACCCACAGGAGUCCAUCAUGGGGAUCUUCCAGUCCCGUGAGAACAAGAGCAGGGAGACUGUGGAUGACUGGCUGGCCUCCUUCAGGGACAGAUUCCCAGGUUAUGUGAGGUAUGAGGGAGAAUAAAGGGCA
ensembl:lncRNA